GCAGGUUGAUCAUUAUCUCAAGGAAAUGGGGAUGGGCCAGGCAUCUGCCCGGGGGUUGGUCAGACGGAGGUCCCUGGAGUACCGGUGGAAAGUGGACGCAGCAACGCACUGCUCCGGCAUAUGAUCCUCUUCCUGAACUGACAGACAAGACGUUUUUGAUGUGCAAUGGCAGGACCCUCGUUUGUGGCAUAAUACUGUUAAUGUAAUUGGUCUUUGGUCCUUUGGAGCAACAGGCGAACCACAGUUGUCAUUCCUAGAAGGCAACCGGCAUGAACUACUCUGUUGGUUGGGGCAGCCGUUUGGUUUCCUUUGUGUCCAAUUGUCAUUGUCCUGAAUGGUGAUCAUAUGUACAAGCUCCUCCACCACGAACCUUAAAAAUAAUAUAAAAUCGAUGUGUAUCUUUCCAAGUGUUCUGUUACUAUCUUUCUCUCCUUUUUGGAAACAGGAUCCUGUUUGUGAGGAUCAGCGUCAACACCAAAAGAGUGUUGAAGAAAAUGAGCGAGAUGCUGCCGACAAGAGAAGCAGGACAUUCGAGUCAGCUGUUGGAUAUUUGGCGCGCUGUUCAGGCCAAGAUGAGGAUCCUGUUUGUGAGGAUCAGCGUCAACACCAAAAGAGUGUUGAAGAAAAUGAGCGAGAUGCUGCCGACGAGAGAAGCAGGACAUUCGAGUCAGCUGUUGGAUAUUUGGCGCGCUGUUCAGGCCAAGAUGAGGAUCAAGUUUUUGAAGAUCAGCGACAACACCAAAAGAGUGUUGAAGAAAAUGAGCGAGAUGCUGCCGACAAGAGAAGCAGGACGUUUGAGUCAGCGGUUGGAUAUUUGUCGCGAUGUUCAGGCCAAGAUGAGGUGCAAACACUUUGUUAAUAACUUUAAUUCAACCUGAUUUGGCCUCAUUAACCUGAAAUGGGAUUAUCACAAGCUAUUGGAUGCAUAAUACUUGGUAAAGAGUUGCUGAUGUUCUUGAUGCUAAACAAUUCAAAUGACAAGAGUGUGAAGGAGAGGGAGAACCGAUGUGAAACAUAAUUAAAUGUUUGGAGUAUUGUUGAGUGAGUCAUGAAUCGAGGUGAGUGUCAAGCUUUCAAUAGAAGAAGGGGGACAAUGCUGAAUAUCAAAUCUCUCAAAAGGAUUCCCAAUAGGCCUCAGCAUUGCUGGCCAACUGAACAAUAGGCGCCACACCCAAACACGGCUUUUUCAGGAAGCAGUGGUGGAGUUAAUCUUCGCAGCAUAUAGCACAACUGCCAGUGCCAGCACCUCCGGGGGGGGGGGGGGGGGGGGGGGGGGGGGGGGGGGGGGGGGGGGGGGGGGCCAAGGAGCCGUAACCCAUUCGCCCUGAGCAUGCAGUGGAAGAGAGAUUGGAGACAAUCCGCUUACUCGUACUAAUGUGGUUAUCGCUACAGAUCUGUACAAUUUCCGAGCAUGAAACUUGGUGAUGUCAUGAAUGGAGACAUUUUCUACCCUUUGAAUUCCAGCCAAAGAUGAUAUUUUCAGUACUUUUCCUGUGUUCACCGAUUUUAAUUGGAUGGCUUUCGGCUCCGACUAAAUUCAGAGUACUGUACUACGAUCUACGGCCGUAAUUCAGCAUGUCACAUGACCAGCUUCGACAGAGACAGAGAGAGACAUCGAGAAAUCUGUGUUUCCACUGACAAUCAAGUUAUGUUUGCUUGGAUGUGGAGAUCAGAAAAUAGGGAACAAUAUCCUUGUGUUGAUUUCCAAACCGACAUCAUCAUUCAUAGUACACAUUUGCGAGGCAUCGUAGAUAUAAUCGGAUGAACGGCGUCAUGUGAUGAUGACCAGUUAGAUACGGCUAAUGAGGCCAUGGAUGGAUUUGCAGCAUUCGAGCGCUGACAGUGGUUAUCGGACGGUGGUCCGGAAUCCUAGCGCUCGACAUGAACAGUCAAAGUCAGCAGUCGAAACAGAUAAUUUGAGUUUUUUCACGACGACACAUGAUCAUGACAUGCAUGGCCACACUCUUACUGUCGAGUUCGCCUCCACAUUUUGAGUCCUGCAUUCUCCACUUUUGAAUGGCUCGUUGCCUCUGUGUAAAGAUGUGUAGCCUCACGGUGUAUAACUUUCGGAGCAGUUUAUCCUUCAUAUCAUGACAGGAUGGAAUAGGAACGUCACGAAUGAAGUCAUCAGCUUGCUCAACUAGCCUCACUAAUAAGUUCUUCCCUUUCAGCCAGCCUUUGACCUCUCUAAAGUAGCGCUCUCCAGCGAUGAAGAGUUUCAUUCCUAUGUCCGAGCAAUGGGUGAGACCGCCUUCCUUGUAUUCCUUGAGUUUAGUCACAGAGCUGUCCAAAUGGGGGAGAAACAUGGCGCCUUGAAAUCACGUGACUGUGAUCGACCAAUCGCAGCGCUCAAUGGAGAGAACAAUAGAUGGCCAGAUUCUUUAUAUAGGCAUUGCACCUUAGGAAGAAAAUUAUUUGUCUGGUCUCUUUUUUUUUUUAUAAUCUGUGUUUUGAGAUUCGAGGAAUAGUGGAACAGAGUACACGGCUGCACCACAGCUUG
rnacentral:lncRNA from 1 species